rnacentral:rRNA from 1 species
UAAUACGAAGGGACCUAGCGUAGUUUCGGAAUUACUGGGCUUAAAGAGUUCGUAGGUGGUUGAAAAAGUUAGUGGUGAAAUCCCAGAGCUUAACUCUGGAACUGCCAUUAAAACUUUUCAGCUAGAGUAUGAUAGAGGAAAGCAGAAUUUCUAGUGUAGAGGUGAAAUUCGUAGAUAUUAGAAAGAAUACCAAUUGCGAAGGCAGCUUUCUGGAUCAUUACUGACACUGAGGAACGAAAGCAUGGGUAGCGAAGAGGAUUAGAUACCCUCGUAGUCCAUGCCGUAAACGAUGUGUGUUAGACGUUGGAAAUUUAUUUUCAGUGUCGCAGCGAAAGCGAUAAACACACCGCCUGGGGAGUACGACCGCAAGGUUAAAACUCAAAUGAAUUGACGGGGACCCGCACAAGUAGUGGAGCAUGUGGUUUAAUUCGAAGAUACGCGCAGAACCUUACCAACACUUGACAUGUUCGUCGCGACUCUAAGAGAUUAGAGUUUUCGGUUCGGCCGGACGAAACACAGGUGCUGCAUGGCUGUCGUCAGCUCGUGUCGUGAGAUGUUGGGUUAAGUCCCGCAACGAGCGCAACCCUCACUUUUAGUUGCCAUCAUUUAGUUGGGCACUCUGAAAGAACUGCCAGUGAUAAGCUGGAGGAAGGUGGGGAUGACGUCAAGUCCUCAUGGCCCUUACGUGUUGGGCUACACACGUGCUACAAUGGUAUCUACAACAGGAAGCAAGACUGCGAGGUCAAGCAAAUCCUUAAAAGAUACCUCAGUUCGGAUUGCACUCUGCAACUCGAGUGCAUGAAGCUGGAAUUACUAGUAAUCGUGGAUCAGCGUGCCACGGUGAAUGCGUUCCCGGGUCUUGUACACACCGCCCGUCACACCAUGGGAGUUGGUUCUACCUUAAGGCAAGGUUUAAAACCCUUGACCACGGUAUAGUCAGCGACUGGGGUGAAGUCGUAACAAGGUAGCCG